rnacentral:rRNA from 1 species
AUUGAACGCUGGCGGCAGGCCUAACACAUGCAAGUCGAGCGGAUGAAGGGAGCUUGCUCCUGGAUUCAGCGGCGGACGGGUGAGUAAUGCCUAGGAAUCUGCCUGGUAGUGGGGGAUAACGUCCGGAAACGGGCGCUAAUACCGCAUACGUCCUGAGGGAGAAAGUGGGGGAUCUUCGGACCUCACGCUAUCAGAUGAGCCUAGGUCGGAUUAGCUAGUUGGUGGGGUAAAGGCCUACCAAGGCGACGAUCCGUAACUGGUCUGAGAGGAUGAUCAGUCACACUGGAACUGAGACACGGUCCAGACUCCUACGGGAGGCAGCAGUGGGGAAUCUUGGCCACUGGGCGCGCGCCUGCUCCCGCCCUGCCGCGUGUGUGAAGGAGGUCUUCGGAUUGUAAAGCACUUUAAGUUGGGAGGAAGGGCAGUAAGUUAAUACCUUGCUGUUUUGACGUUACCAACAGAAUAAGCACCGGCUAACUUCGUG